UUAAAUUCACUGCAUGAAUGACGUUAAUGAUGACGCUGCAAGUAAAGACAAUGGAACGUGAUCGAAAGUGUUGAAAGACAGAAAUUUAUGAGCAAACGCAAGGCUAAUAACACAAUACAUUGUCGUCUAUCAAAUCGUUCCUUCCAAUUCGUUCCUUUUCUCCACACUGAAGAAAUCGAUAUAAAUUGAAUAUCUUCUUUUAUAAACUGAUUUAAUUAAAAGUGUGGCUUUGUGGAUCAUUGUUGCGUCAAAGCCUUCAACCGCAAAUGAUCGAGUAGUUGCCGCUGCCUGGAAGCAGAUGUUGCGAUCAAUCUAGCUGCAAUUGGAAUCUAGCUUUCUGAGAAUGCUCGGGACUAAUUAACAUAUAACAAUGGACAUCUGUCUCCCUUCGUGACAACCAGACAAGGAAAUAAUAGAUCCAGGGAACAAUAGAUGAAUUUGAGUCGAUUGAGAUUGAAAUCUUUGAAAGCGAAAAUUGUCAGUUCUUUCAAACUGAUUUAUUUAGCAAAAAGAAUGCAAUUGUAGAAAAGUCGUUUUUUGUUGAUAUGAGAGAGAUAUCCAACAGUAUAAGAGAAGUAUAAGUAUAAGAGAACAUGUACUUAUUUUUAUUCAGAUCAAAAGUUCAGAUCAAAAGUAAGGCAAAUGUAAAAAUCUUAUACGUGGUUCGUUUGGUACAAUGUUUGGAUUUUAUAAUUGAAAAGAUUUAAGCGCAUGACGCUUAUAGAAAUAGAAUAUAGAAAC